rnacentral:rRNA from 1 species
GAUGAACGCUAGCGGCAGGCCUAACACAUGCAAGUCGAGGGGUAGAAGGAGCUUGCUCCUUUGAGACCGGCGCACGGGUGCGUAACGCGUAUGCAAUCUACCUUUUACAGAGGGAUAGCCCAGAGAAAUUUGGAUUAAUACCUCAUAGUAUAUAUCAUUCGCAUGUUUGGUAUAUUAAAGUUCCAACGGUAAAAGAUGAGCAUGCGUCCCAUUAGUUAGUUGGUAAGGUAACGGCUUACCAAGACGAUGAUGGGUAGGGGUCCUGAGAGGGAGAUCCCCCACACUGGUACUGAGACACGGACCAGACUCCUACGGGAGGCAGCAGUGAGGAAUAUUGGUCAAUGGACGCAAGUCUGAACCAGCCAUGCCGCGUGCAGGAAGACGGUCCUAUGGAUUGUAAACUGCUUUUGUACGGGAAGAAACACUCCUACGUGUAGGAGCCUGACGGUACCGUAAGAAUAAGGAUCGGCUAACUCCGUGCCAGCCGCCGCAGUAAAAC